AGUGAACGCUGGCGGCAGGCCUAACACAUGCAAGUCGAGCGGCAGCGCGGGGGCAACCCUGGCGGCGAGCGGCGGACGGGUGAGGAAUGCAUCGGAAUCUACCUCGUUGUGGGGGAUAACCUCGGGAAACCGGGACUAAUACCGCAUACGACCUACGGGUGAAAGUGGGGGACCUUCGGGCCUCACGCGAUGAGAUGAGCCGAUGCCGGAUUAGCUAGUUGGCGGGGUAAAGGCCCACCAAGGCGACGAUCCGUAGCUGGUCUGAGAGGGUGAUCAGCCACACUGGAACUGAGACACGGUCCAGACUCCUACGGGAGGCAGCAGUGGGGAAUAUUGGACAAUGGGGGGAACCCUGAUCCAGCCAUGCCGCGUGAGGGAAGAAGGUCCUCUGGAUUGUAAACCUCUUUUGGCAGGAAACAAACCUGCGCUAUACGCGCAGCUGAGGGUACCUGCAGAAUAAGCACCGGCUAACUCCGUGCCAGC
rnacentral:rRNA from 1 species